GACGAACGCUGGCGGCGUGCCUAAUACAUGCAAGUCGAGCGGACUGAUUAAGAGCUUGCUCUUAUGACGUUAGCGGCGGACGGGUGAGUAACACGUGGGCAACCUGCCCUGUAGAUCGGGAUAACACCGAGAAAUCGAUGCUAAUACCGGGUAAUAUCUGAGAUCACAUGAUCUUAGGUUAAAAGAUGGCUCCGGCUAUCACUACAGGAUGGGCCCGCGGCGCAUUAGCUAGUUGGUAAGGUAAUGGCUUACCAAGGCGACGAUGCGUAGCCGACCUGAGAGGGUGAUCGGCCACACUGGGACUGAGACACGGCCCAGACUCCUACGGGAGGCAGCAGUAGGGAAUCUUCCGCAAUGGACGAAAGUCUGACGGAGCAACGCCGCGUGAGUGAUGAAGGGUUUCGGCUCGUAAAGCUCUGUUGUUAGGGAAGAAACAGUACCGAACGAACUAGGUCGGUACCUUGACGGUACCUAACCAGAAAGCCACGGCUAACUACGUG
rnacentral:rRNA from 1 species